rnacentral:rRNA from 1 species
GCUCAGGACGAACGCUGGCGGCGUGCUUAACACAUGCAAGUCGAGCGGUAAGGCCCUUCGGGGUACACGAGCGGCGAACGGGUGAGUAACACGUGAGUAACCUGCCCCUGACUCUGGGAUAAGCGGUGGAAACGCCGUCUAAUACCGGAUACGACCUUCCGCCUCAUGGUGGAGGGUGGAAAGUUUUUUCGGUCAGGGAUGGGCUCGCGGCCUAUCAGCUUGUUGGUGGGGUAACGGCCUACCAAGGCGAUUACGGGUAGCCGGCCUGAGAGGGCGACCGGCCACACUGGGACUGAGACACGGCCCAGACUCCUGCGGGAGGCAGCAGUGGGGAAUAUUGCGCAAUGGGCGAAAGCCUGACGCAGCGACGCCGCGUGGGGGAUGACGGCCUUCGGGUUGUAAACCUCUUUUACCACCAACGCAGGCUCCGGGUUUUCUCGGGGUUGACGGUAGGUGGGGAAUAAGGACCGGCUAACUACGUGCCAGCAGCCGCGGUAAUACGUAGGGUCCGAGCGUUGUCCGGAAUUAUUGGGCGUAAAGAGCUCGUAGGCGGCGUGUCGCGUCUGCUGUGAAAGACCGGGGCUUAACUCCGGUUCUGCAGUGGAUACGGGCAUGCUAGAGGUAGGUAGGGGAGACUGGAAUUCCUGGUGUAGCGGUGAAAUGCGCAGAUAUCAGGAGGAACACCGGUGGCGAAGGCGGGUCUCUGGGCCUUACCUGACGCUGAGAGC